UACGUAGGUGACAAGCGUUGUCCGGAUUUACUGGGCGUAAAGAGCGCGCAGGCGGCUGGUCAAGUCCGAUGUGAAAGCUCCCGGCUUAACUGGGAAACGGCAUCGGAAACUGAUCGGCUUGAAGGUGGGAGAGGGUAGUGGAAUUCCCGGUGUAGUGGUGAAAUUCGUAGAUAUUCGCAAGAACACCAGUGGCGAAGGCGGCUUACUGGCCCGGUUCUGACGCUGAGGCGCGAAAGCGUGGGGAGCAAACAGG
rnacentral:rRNA from 1 species